GAAAUGCGAUAAGUAGUGUGAAUUGCAGAAUUCAGUGAAUCAUCGAAUCUUUGAACGCACAUUGCGCCCUUUGGUAUUCCAAAGGGCAUGCCUGUUCGAGCGUCAUUUGUACCCUCAAGCUUUGCUUGGUGUUGGGCGUCUUGUCUCUAGCUUUGCUGGAGACUCGCCUUAAAGUAAUUGGCAGCCGGCCUACUGGUUUCGGGGCGCAGCACAAGUCGCACUCUCUAUCAGCAAAGGUCUAGCAUCCAUUAAGCCUUUUUUUCAACUUUUGACCUCGGAUCAGGUAGGGAUACCCGCUGAACUUAAGC
rnacentral:misc_RNA from 1 species